AGUUCAAGUGCUCAAUUGAGUGCA
rnacentral:siRNA from 1 species